GAAUCUUUUUGCAAAUUUAAAUUUCAUGUGACUUUUAUAUUAAGAAGCUGAGUUUUAAUAUAGUACAGAGCUAUUACUAAAAUGCAUGUAAUACAAUUCGAACCUACUGGCCAUUUGGAAUGUUAUAGAUUCACACCAUUGUUGGUGCCUAUACUUUAAAAGCCACUGAUCCUAAUAGAGACAUAUAGGAUUGGUGUGUGUAUGAGUAUGAAAGGCACCAAUGUUAGUCUCAAAUCUAGCCACUAAUAAGAGGGACAAUGAGAUAUUUUGAAUUUUAGAAAUAAUUAUAAAACCAUAAAAAAGUUGUACUAUUCACAUACACACCAAUGCAAUAUUGGUAGCCAUUGCUACAAUAAAGUCCUCUACAUAAGACAAGUUCCCUAGUUUAGUGGCUGCUUAGUGCCCAUUGAGGUUUGCUACUAAUGAGAGUGUCCACAAAUGACAAAAGACACCAAUGAAAAGAGUGGCUUUUAGCCAAAUUUCUAGUAGUGAGAAGAAGAAAGGAGAGUCAGACCAUGCAUUAUUGAAUUUGGAGACGUUUUUAGGAGGAUGUGAUUGAUUUACCAAUUACAUUCAAAAUCUAAUGACAUGUUUGUUUACGUAAGAGUGUGAUUGUUGUACUCUUUUGUGUUCAUCAAUUAAUCAUUGGGUAUCAGAGCUACAAAAAAAAA
rnacentral:lncRNA from 1 species